UACGGGGGGGGCAAGCGUUGUUCGGAAUUACUGGGCGUAAAGGGCUCGUAGGCGGCCAACUAAGUCAGACGUGAAAUCCCUCGGCUUAACCGGGGAACUGCAUCUGAUACUGGAUGGCUUGAGUUCGGGAGAGGGAUGCGGAAUUCCAGGUGUAGCGGUGAAAUGCGUAGAUAUCUGGAGGAACACCGGUGGCGAAGGCGGCAUUCUGGACCGAAACUGACGCUGAGGCGCGAAAGCCAGGGGAGCAAACGGG
rnacentral:rRNA from 1 species